rnacentral:rRNA from 1 species
AUUGAACGCUGGCGGCAGGCCUAACACAUGCCAGUCGAGCGAGCGGCGGACGGGUGAGUAAUGUAUGGGGAUCUGCCCGAUAGAGGGGGAUAACUACUGGAAACGGUGGCUAAUACCGCAUACUAUCGGAUGAACCCAUAUGGGAUUAGCUAGUAGGUGGGGUAAUGGCUCACCUAGGCGACGAUCCCUAGCUGGUCUUAGAGGAUGACCAGCCAAACUGGAACUGAGAUACGGUCCAGACGCCUAAGGGAGGCAGCAGUGGGGAAUAUUGCACAAUGGGCGAAAGCCUGAUGCAGCCAUGCCGCGUGUGUGAAGAAGGCCUUCGGGUUGUAAAGCACUUUCAGCGAGGAGGCGUUACUCGCAGAAGAAGCACCGGCUAACUCCGUGCCAGCAGCCGCGGUAAUUC